GUUGUAUGGUUAAGUGAUUAAGCGUAGACGGUGGAUGCCUUGGCAGUCAGAGGCGAUGAAGGACGUAUUAACUUGCGAUAAGCCCAGAUAAGGCAGUAAAAGCCAUUUGAGUCUGGGAUUUCCGAAUGGGGAAACCCACCUGCAUAAGCAGGU
rnacentral:rRNA from 1 species